rnacentral:rRNA from 1 species
GAUGAACGCUGGCGGCGUGCCUAAUACAUGCAAGUCGAGCGAACGGACGAGAAGCUUGCUUCUCUGAUGUUAGCGGCGGACGGGUGAGUAACACGUGGAUAACCUACCUAUAAGACUGGGAUAACUUCGGGAAACCGUAGCUAAUACCGGAUAAUACUUUGAACCGCAUGGUUCAAAAGUGAAAGACGGUCUUGCUGUCACUUAUAGAUGGAUCCGCGCUGCAUUAGCUAGUUGGUAAGGUAACGGCUUACCAAGGCAACGAUGCAUAGCCGACCUGAGAGGGUGAUCGGCCACACUGGAACUGAGACACGGUCCAGACUCCUACGGGAGGCAGCAGUAGGGAAUCUUCCGCAAUGGGCGAAAGCCUGACGGAGCAACGCCGCGUGAGUGAUGAAGGUCUUCGGAUCGUAAAGCUCUGUUAUUAGGGAAGAACAUAUGUGUAAGUAACUGUGCACAUCUUGACGGUACCUAAUCAGAAAGCCACGGCUAACUACGUG